UACGUAGGGGGCGAGCGUUGUCCGGAUUUAUUGGGCGUAAAGAGCGUGUAGGCGGCCAGGUAGGUCAGCUGUGAAAACUCGAGGCUCAACCUCGAGAUGUCGGCUGAAACCAUCUGGCUAGAGUCCGGAAGAGGAGAAUGGAAUUCCCGGUGUAGCGGUGAAAUGCGCAGAUAUCGGGAAGAACACCCGUGGCGAAGGCGGUUCUCUGGGACGGUACUGACGCUGAGACGCGAAAGCGUUGGGAGCGAACAGG
rnacentral:rRNA from 1 species